GACGAACGCUGGCGGCGUGCUUAACACAUGCAAGUCGAACGGAAAGGCCCUGCUUUUGUGGGGUGCUCGAGUGGCGAACGGGUGAGUAACACGUGAGUAACCUGCCCUUGACUUUGGGAUAACUUCAGGAAACUGGGGCUAAUACCGGAUAGGAGCUCCUGCUGCAUGGUGGGGGUUGGAAAGUUUCGGCGGUUGGGGAUGGACUCGCGGCUUAUCAGCUUGUUGGUGGGGUAGUGGCUUAACAAGGCUUUGACGGGUAGCCGGCCUGAGAGGGUGACCGGCCACAUUGGGACUGAGAUACGGCCCAGACUCCUACGGGAGGCAGCAGUGGGGAAUAUUGCACAAUGGGCGGAAGCCUGAUGCAGCAACGCCGCGUGCGGGAUGAAGGCCUUCGGGUUGUAAACCGCUUUCGCCUGUGGCGAAGCGUGAGUGACGGUAAUGGGUAAAGAAGCACCGGCUAACUACGUG
rnacentral:rRNA from 1 species